GACUUUUUCCUCCCAAUAGAAAAGGGAAGUGGAGCAAUAAAAAAAUGUGGCGACCCUAAUUUAGAAUUUCUGCUUUCAUUAAAAGCUUGCCAUUGCCAAUAGCUUCUGCUUUGUAGAGUUGCUGAUGACUAUCCCAUCAGCCGCAACCAUCAGCCAUCAUCUCCUUUUCCUCCUCCUACCAUAUUCCCUUUCUCCUAAAAUUAAAAAUCCCUUCUUUGGAUUGGAACGCCAUGUUUGAUCCAAGAAUUAGGGUUUCCCACAGCUAUAAUCAUGGCGGUGAUCACAGCUUAGGGAGCACAAACAAGGGGAGGAGUUUGGGUCAAAGUGAUGGGAGUAGUACAAAUUGGCUUGGAGGAGGAGGAGGAGGAGAUCAUCGUCAGGAAGAUGUGCAAUUGAGGCCAAACUUUAAUCCUCCUGAUUCCGAAUCCCUGGAAUGUGAUGAUGGCGGCGCCGGCGUCUACUCGCCGCCGUUAUGGCGAAAUAGCCCGAGUCCGCCCAGAAGCCCAUCGCAGCCCCUGCUUGGCCAUCAUCAUCAUCUGCAGAGAUCUCUGUCCCCAAGAUCUCGAAUUCAGACCAUUGUUAAAGGGCAGAGGGAGCUGAUGGAAAUGGUGAAAAACAUGCCUGAGUCCUCCUAUGAACUCUCCUUGAAGGAUCUUGUUGAGCAUGAUCACAGCCUGGAGAAUCAGGCCCCACCUCUUCAGGAGGAGAGAUUUGGAAAUUCUCAAAGGGCAGAGGAGAAAGUGAAGAAGGGAGGGGGAGGGAGCCAGAAAAGCGGGGACAAGAACGUGAGGAGAAGUGGGAGUUUUGAGAGCAAGGGACUGUUUCUGAAGAUGGGGUUUCCAUUUUCUUCCCUGCAGAAAAGGAGCAACUAUGGUGGGACUGGGAAAGUUUCUCCCAGGCCGGCAGUGAUCGGUGAAAGGGAUUGGUGGAAGAAGAAAUUCACUGGCUCAAGUGAUAGUGACAGCAGCAGAACAAGCAACACCAGCGGCAGCACCAACAGUAGCAGCAGCAGCAGCAGCAGCAGUGGAGGCAGCUAUGGCAACAGCGGUAGAGGCAGCGGCAGGAAAAAGAAUGGAUUGUGGAGCAGCUGCUGGCCAUCAUUUCAAUCGAGGAGAGCCAAAUAUGCAUAGUAGUCUAGUCGACAAACAGUGCCGCCCAGACCAGGUGAGAUGCGAAUGAUCCCAUCCCAUCGAUGAACCACCAUUUAUUUGUCUACGCUGGCGUGAAGAAGACAAAAAAACAAAAACUCGGGGAUGGCAAAGCUGCAUUCUAUAGUUGGGAUGGGGAUCCCUCUGUAAUAUUAUCAGAGGUAAGAAGACCUCAUCUCGCAGGAGAGAAGAGAAGAGAAGAGGAGAGUUGAUGAGGCCUCCAAAUUAUACAAUGCUCUGCUCUGCUCUGCUUUGCAAACCUGCGUGCGCCGGAGGUGGAGAGCUCAGGGGAGGGGAUGGAUGGAUGUCUUCUUGCCGCUACGAAUAUAUAUAUAUAUAUAUAUAUUAUAGUGAAUAAAUAAACAGUGUAGUAUAUUGUAGUAAAAGAUAGCUCUCCUCUUCGCUCUCUCAUAUGUAUGUACUUCUUCUUGUGGCAGCCAAUACUCAUCUUAUGUUAUGGUAGUGAAAUUUGAAUCA